rnacentral:rRNA from 1 species
AUGACCAUCCAUUUCUUGCCUGGAACAUUGGAGCUUGAUUGCAGACUUGACAAGCUCAUAACACUACGGGGGUUAUUGCUGUCAUUCUAUUGUCAGUCAUGCAAGUCCACGAGGAGUGGAAAAAUCUGUGUCUGGGGCGCACCUGAUGAUCUAGGGAGCUUCACAGUCGUCCAGGAAGGCUAUGAGACUUCAACUUCCAAUCAAGAAACUUUUCAAGGAGGGAGGGGUUUCAUCACCAGUGUCGCCGUUGUCUUCGUGCAGGGCUCCAUCGACCACAACUGCUACCUCAACUUCGAUCAAGACUAUGUUGGCAACGACCACUUCUGCAACGCCUCUUGGGAUGGAGUCACCAUCGGCCAUGGCUACUACAACCUCGUCGUUCAAGUCAACCACGACUUCGACUGCCAUCAUGACUUCAAGCUAGUCAAGGAACACCAAGUGCAAUCGGAUCCCGGCGGUUCUCGGUGGUGUCGGCUUGGGGUCAAGCCGCAUUUCAAGGAGGGAGGGAUGUUAGCAGCCCUCCUACCAUCACGUGCUUGGGCUGGCCCCUUGGGCCAGCUAAGGGGGCCUGGCCCGUUCUGGAAUCACCAAAGCGAUAAGAGCCUGGGAGGAGGCGACGUCGAGGGCAUCCAGUGGAUCACGGCUGAACGGCACCCGGCGGCUCCUUUCUCCUACCUCCAGCUUCCUCCUUCGAUCCCUACCCUGCUGUAA